rnacentral:lncRNA from 1 species
CCCUCUAACCCUAAGUUGCGUAAUGAAUUUUGGUUCAUUUCCAAUUUCCCAUCCGCAGCGCGAUGCGGCAUUUUCUCUCAACCCUAACCCCAAUCCCUACGAAUUCUCCUCAAUUCUCUCGCUUUGCCUCUCAAUUCUAGGGAAUUCCGGCAAGAAUCCCGACUUUGAUUCACCAAAUAAGCAGAUUAUGCAAUGAAUCUGUUAAAACCUAGCCUAUUGUUCAUCGAAUCUUCAUCUUCUCCUUUGUGCAUGCGUCUAUGAAUACUCUAAACCUAGCCUAUUGUUUUUCAUCCCAGAUUCACAAGAGCAGAGUAAGAAGAAGGAGUUAAGGAGCAUUAUCAGCAAGCCAGCAUGUGUAAGUGUUCUAGGGGUUUUUUAUUGUCUACGUUUUUUGCUUGUCUUGUAAUCAAUUUCUAACUUGUAUUUUGCUUUUGAUAUAUGAUUAUUCAGGGUUGUACGGUCUUCAAGUUCCAUACUUGCAGUCGGAGUGGAACAAACUUGGAAUUGAAGAUGAAACAAGUUUGAUGCUGCUUGGUCUUGCUGAUAUGUGAAUUUGUGUUCUGCAAUUCUUCUUGAAGUUUGAUUCUGCAUUUCAGAUGCAUCAUUGAUGCUUUUAUUUACUUUCUACUUAUUCUAUUUUGAUUAGAAGUUGGAACUUUGAAGACUUAAGUAUUAAACACACUCAUGCUAUAAUUCUGUUCAAGACAAUGCAGUUUUUGUUCAAUUCUUAGAUUCUGUUACAUUUAUUAUUAUUCUUUUACUACUAACGGUUUUAAUCCCUUUUUGUCGGAUCGUACCCGCUACCUAUGGGAUCCGGGGUGGAACUGAAAAUGGGCCCGGUAAUACUUGUGGGGCGGAUUCCGGGAAACCCGGAAUGGGCCGAGGGUGGCUAUCCAGCAUCGAUUCGAUCCAUUGACAAGCCUAGAUAAAAUAGUAGGACUCCUCCUC